AUGUACAUUCUUACAACAUAUCAUUAAUGCACAUGCUCCCAUUAGAAAUCUGUAGUUAGGCGUGCUCGGGCUAGAGUAGUAUUGGGAUGGGUGACCUCCUGAGAAGUCCUAGUAUUUUACAUG
rnacentral:rRNA from 1 species